GACGAACGCUGGCGGCGUGCUUAACACAUGCAAGUCGAACGGAAAGGCCCCCUUGUGGGGUACUCGAGUGGCGAACGGGUGAGUAACACGUGAGUAACCUACCCUUGACUUUGGGAUAACUUCAGGAAACUGGGGCUAAUACCGGAUAGGAGCUCCUGCUGCUGGGUGGGGGUGGGAAAGUUUCGGCGGUUGGGGAUGGACUCGCGGCUUAUCAGCUUGUUGGUGGGGUAGUGGCUCACCAAGGCUUUGACGGGUAGCCGGCCUGAGAGGGUGACCGGCCACAUUGGGACUGAGAUACGGCCCAGACUCCUACGGGAGGCAGCAGUGGGGAAUAUUGCACAAUGGGCGGAAGCCUGAUGCAGCAACGCCGCGUGCGGGAUGACGGCCUUCGGGUUGUAAACCGCUUUCGCCUGUGACGAAGCGUGAGUGACGGUAAUGGGUAAAGAAGCACCGGCUAACUACGUG
rnacentral:rRNA from 1 species